GGGGGCGUAGCUCAGUUGGGAGAGCACUAGCCUUGCACGCUAGGGGUCGUGAGUUCGAACCUCAUCGCCUCCACCA
rnacentral:tRNA from 1 species